AAAGGAUGUGGGAUUGCACAGACAACCAGGAUGUUGGCUUAGAAGCAGCCACUCAUUCAAAGAGUGCGUAAUAGCUCACUGGUCGAGUGAUCCUGCGCCGAAGAUUUCCGGGGCUAAAACUUACUACCGAAGCUACGGCAUCAUUAUGAUGGGUAGGGGAGCUUCCCAUACGGGUUGAAGCAUGACCGUAAGGACAUGUGGACAGUAUGGGAGUGAGAAUGUUGGCAUGAGUAGCGAGAUGUGGGUGAGAAUCCCACAGGCCGUAAACCCAAGGUUUCCAGGGGAAGGUUCGUCCGC
rnacentral:rRNA from 1 species